GUAGGGAAUCUUCGGCAAUGGACGAAAGUCUGACCGAGCAACGCCGCGUGAGUGAAGAAGGUUUUCGGAUCGUAAAACUCUGUUGUUAGAGAAGAACGUUGUGUAGAGUGGAAAAUUACACAAGUGACGGUAUCUAACCAGAAAGGGACGGCUAACUACGUGCCAGCAGCCGCGGUAAUACGUAGGUCCCGAGCGUUGUCCGGAUUUAUUGGGCGUAAAGCGAGCGCAGGUGGUUUAAUAAGUCUGAUGUAAAAGGCAGUGGCUCAACCAUUGUGUGCAUUGGAAACUGUUAGACUUGAGUGCAGUAGAGGAGAGUGGAAUUCCAUGUGUAGCGGUGAAAUGCGUAGAUAUAUGGAGGAACACCGGUGGCGAAAGCGGCUCUCUGGACUGUAACUGACACUGAGGCUCGAAAGCGUGGGUAGCAAACAGGAUUAGAUACCCGGGUAGUCC
rnacentral:rRNA from 1 species